UUAACUGAAAGAGCAACUAACAAGAAGAAGAUGAUCAUCAGUGUCUGUAUCUGGACACUCAUUCUUUGUGUUCAAGGAAUUACAGGACAAGUUUCUGUGACUCAGACUCCCUCAGCAGCAGCUGUUCAACCAGGAGAAACAGUUACUAUAAACUGUCAAACUAGCAGAGGGAUUGGAAAACGUUCAUGGGGUUGUGGUGAAUGUCUCAACUGGUAUCUGCAGAAACCUGGAGAAACUCCUAAAAUCCUCAUUUUUGGCAUUAGAGAACGAUGGUCAGGAACUCCAUCUAGAUUCAGUGGCAGUGGAGCAGAUUAUGGAACAGAUUUCACUCUGACCAUCAGUGGAGUCCAGACUGAAGAUGCUGGACAUUAUUACUGUAAGCCUGGACAUGUAUUCGACAGCAGAAAUGUCCUGACACAGUGAUAAAGAGUCAUACAAAAACCUGUGUCAGUCAGAGUCACAGUGA